rnacentral:rRNA from 1 species
CGCGGCCUAUCAGCUUGUUGGUGGGGUAAUGGCCUACCAAGGCGACGACGGGUAGCCGGCCUGAGAGGGUGACCGGCCACACUGGGACUGAGACACGGCCCAGACUCCUACGGAAGGCAGCAGUGGGGAAUAUUGGACAAUGGGCGAAAGCCUGAUCCAGCAACGCCGCGUGAGGGAUGACGGCCUUCGGGUUGUAAACCUCUUUCCGUACCGACGAAGCGAAAGUGACGGUAGGUACAGAAGAAGCACCGGCCAACUACGUGCCAGCAGCCGCGGUAAUACGUAGGGUGCGAGCGUUGUCCGGAAUUAUUGGGCGUAAAGAGCUCGUAGGCGGUUCGUCGCGUCGGGAGUGAAAACUCAGGGCUUAACUCUGAGCUUGCUUCUGAUACGGGCGGGCUAGAGGUAGGUAGGGGAGAACGGAAUUCCUGGUGUAGCGGUGGAAUGCGCAGAUAUCAGGAGGAACACCGGUGGCGAAGGCGGUUCUCUGGGCCUUACCUGACGCUGAGGAGCGAAGGCAUGGGGAGCGAACAGGAUUAGAUACCCUGGUAGUCCAUGCCGUAAACGUUGGGCGCUAGGUGUGGGGGACAUUCCACGUUUUCCGCGCCGUAGCUAACGCAUUAAGUGCCCCGCCUGGGGAGUACGG